rnacentral:rRNA from 1 species
UACAGAGGGUGCUAGCGUUGUUCGGAAUCAUUGGGCGUAAAGGGCGUGUAGGCGGUUUGUUAAGUCAUGUGUGAAAUCCCUCGGCUCAACCGGGGAACGACGCAUGAAACUGGCAAGCUAGAGUACCAAAGAGGGGGGUGGAAUUCCCGGUGGUAGCGGUGAAAUGCGUAGAUAUUGGGAGGAACACCAGUGGCGAAAGGCGGCUCACUGGACCGGAACUGACGCUGAGGCGCGGAAAGCGUGGGGAGCAAACAGGAUUGAGAU